AGUGAACGCUGGCGGUAGGCCUAACACAUGCAAGUCGAACGGCAGCACAGUAAGAGCUUGCUCUUACGGGUGGCGAGUGGCGGACGGGUGAGGAAUACAUCGGAAUCUACUUUUUCGUGGGGGAUAACGUAGGGAAACUUACGCUAAUACCGCAUACGACCUACGGGUGAAAGCAGGGGAUCUUCGGACCUUGCGCGAUUGAAUGAGCCGAUGUCGGAUUAGCUAGUUGGCGGGGUAAAGGCCCACCAAGCCGACGAUCCGUAGCUGGUCUGAGAGGAUGAUCGGCCACACUGGAACUGAGCCACGGUCCAGACUCCUACGGGAGGCAGCAGUGGGGAAUAUUGGACAAUGGGCGCAAGCCUGAUCCAGCCAUACCGCGUGGGUGAAGAAGGCCUUCGGGUUGUAAAGCCCUUUUGUUGGGAAAGAAAAGCAGCAGGUUAAUACCCCGCUGUUCUGACGGUACCCAAAGAAUAAGCACCGGCUAACUUCGUG
rnacentral:rRNA from 1 species